CCAGGCAUUUUCCCUGGCAGCAAAAUCCCUCUCUUAGCUCUGCAGACAACGUACAACAUACAAGAUGGUCCUCCAUUGUUUUUACAAACUGGGUCACGAUGACAUAAAUGUUUGGAAAAAGUGAAGUAUGCUGUGAGGCAUUGGUGCCACUGAGAGCACUCAGAUUUGUAACUGGGGGAUGAUGAAACCACGUGCAAACACCACUCUGCUUGCCCUCAGCUCCUCUGAACUCAAGUUUCACCCUUCACAUGGUGAAGUAUCAAUAUCUCAUCUGUAAUAAGAAGCUCCUGAAAUGGGUUCAGCUCUGCGUGCCCGUUCAACAAUGGGAGUGCUCAGGCACAGGCUGCCUAUUUGUCACCUGGCUACCCUUGCACAUUGCUAUACCUCUUGAUAUAGAUGAAACAGAGCUGCUGUUUGUUCCCUUUUAAAAGAACAUUUCCUUCUUUGAAUCAGUAAAUGAUCCUUGGCACAGUUAAAGGAAAAAGAUUACAAAGAAAAUGAGUCCUCUCCAUGACCUGAAAAGAGCCACAUUCCUCUGCACCAGCUCCUCUCAUUGCCUAGAAUAGCACCGUGUGUGUGUGAAAGAGACCUGAGUGAAGAGCGUGGCACUAGUGAACCCACCCAUCACCUUUCUAACAUUUAUAGAUUUAUUUUCUAGAUAAUUUAGAGUCUAAACUAUGUCUCAGAUACUCUCAGCCAUGUGUUCAAAUCCAUUCGCUUAUGGUUCAAGUAUGCAUUACUGAGAUUUUUGCAUGCUGAUAUGUUUUUUUUUAGGGGUUAAAAUGAUUCAUUUCCCAUCACUUAUUUAUCAUUUCCCAUCAUAUUUCUAGAUGUAGCACAAGCCUCCUUGGUUCUGCUGAAUUCAAUGGAGCUGUAGAUUUACAUCACAUAUGCCUCUGGCUCAUUUCUUUACAAGAACAGCCUUCUUUGAAUUGUAUAAUUGCUAAAAGUUCAGACGAUUGAAAUUUUUGGAGCUCAUAACAACUCUUGACUGAUACCCACAUUUCAUGGAACAGGAAUCAGAAGCAAUGUUUUGGUCUAGUGUUCUUAUUUCCUACAUGUUGUAAGACAUGGGGGUAAAUUACAAAGCUCCUAUUUAUUGCAGUGAUACUAUUGACCCCAUGCUCUUAUGUGGUGCUGUCCAAGUGUGACUUGGCCUCCUGCUAAAGGGAGCCACUAUUCCCAGCACUCCACAUUGGCCUGCCUGGGUUUCCAAUGCAGCAGUUUCCCCUGUAUCCCAUGAUCUGAAAGACGUAUCCCUGCACCUCAUUCUACAAAAUCCAAGCCUGAAUAUUUUUGCCUACAAAUGCCCUGCUCCCAAGUCUAGGGCAACCAUCCAAGAUUUGUGUUUGCGUGAACUUCUGGGGACGAAAGAGAGCUUGGAAUGAGGAGAUGCAACUUUCAUAUUAUUAUAAAAAACAUUCAAAAUCUGAAGACACAAGAAUGGUAAAGUGAAACCUGCUCAUCCUCUCCCAUUUGUGGCUGACAACCUGGCCUUAUCUGGACAAUGUUUGAAGGCCAUUUCUUCACAAAAUGAAAAAAAUCUUAAAAGUUGUGAGUUGUAUUUUUCUGAGACUGACUGAAGAGAAAAGGGUCAAAUUGAUCCCUGGUGAGACUCUGUGGAUCUCAAGGAAAUGAAUGUAAGGAAGUUAUCCUAAGGAUGAAUUAUUCUAAAAUUCCAAAGGAAAUGCUGCUUUAAUGAGAAAAAAAGUUCAAAGAUGCAGAAAUAUAUCAGCGAAUUCAUAGCAGAUUGUCCAGAAUCAGGCCAAGUUACAACAAUCAAAAUAUAUAACUGAAUUCAGACACAAAACUUAAAAUAAAGGAGGGACCAGAACUAUGGUAGGGUAAAGAAUAAAGAGCAUAGAGUCUAUUGCUGUCUCUCUGGAGUCAGCUUUUUAGUAAUCCACUUUUUAAAAUAUAUUAAAUAUGCUGGCAAACAUCCAUGCACUUUACGUAUAUCAUCCACAGAAGUCUACCAGUCUAUUAUUCUCAACAGGCAUUGAAAAGCAGUAAAUGCCCUCCUUGUUGUCUUCUGAAACUCUUCCAGGUCCGAGCUAGCACUUACACGGAAGGUUAUACGACAUUUGAGGAACCAAACAUUUCCAAAACAAACCCAAUGCUCCGAGAAAAAGGUACAGACUGCAGAUGCAUUAUCAGCUGUAACAAUGCUAAGAGGACUCUGAAAGGAGAACAAGGUGAUAUUCAAUUGAUGAAUUAAUAUUGUCAUUUUAGUACAGGCAUAAAAAUGCAUCUGACCACAGGUCGGAUACACCACUGUCUGGUGCUGUGUGUAAUUACACCAGCAAUUAUCUAGUGUAGUCCAAAUGCAGACCCACCAAUUGCUGCAAACUUCCAUACGGCAUUAAUUUAUCAUAUCUUGCUAAAACAUUUUAUUCUUUUUGAUAAUGAACACCAACAGUAAAGACAGCAGCGUCAAAGUGCACUGUCAGUCCUUUUACCCUAAUAGCUCAUGCAGACACUGUAGGCUUCCUGUCAACUUUCAGAGCUCUUAAAUAUAGAAAAAAGGCAGAGCCACUCAAGAGAGUCAACCUCUAUUCACUGGGAAGGAACUAGCAGCACAUUAUAAUAGAUGCUCAUCUUUGUGCAAAAAAAUAGAAAAAAAAAUAAAAAAAAUCACGCUUGGAACUGAAAAGUUGACUAUUUAGAUAUUCUGCACAUCACAACCAUUGGGCUUUCCUCUGAGUGCAUAUUUAUACGGCAGGUGGCAUUGUUAGGGAAGGAAGCACAGCACAAAUGUUGAGUGACUCACUUUCCUAAAUCUGAAGUUGAAAACCCUUUGAUCAGACAUUUCAUGCUUCACCAUUCAUUUCUGAGAACAAAGUAAGAACUACUUGUAGCAACGUGAGCAAGCAAGGCUUUCACGGAGUUUUAAUGAAUUAAGGUGUUUUGCUGAACAGCUUUGUAUCUAGUUCUUGGCUACAGUGUAAGAUAUUAAUGGCAGUGACAGCUUAGUAUACGGUUUCCCAGAUUCUGAACA